GUUGAACGCUGGCGGCAGGCCUAACACAUGCAAGUCGAACGAGUGGCGGACGGGUGAGUAAUGUCUGGGAAACUGCCCGAUGGAGGGGGGUAACUACUGGAAACGGUAGCUAAUACCGCAUACCCUCGGAUGUGCCCAGAUGGGAUUAGCUAGUAGGUGGGGUAACGGCUCACCUAGGCGCCGGUCCCUAGCUGGGCUGAGAGGAUGACCAGCCACACUGGAACUGAGACACGGUCCAGACUCCUACGGGAGGCAGCAGUGGGGAAUAUUGCACAAUGGGCGCAAGCCUGAUGCAGCCAUGCCGCGUGUAUGAAGAAGGCCUUCGGGGUGUAAAGUACUUUCAGCGGGGAGGCGUUACUCGCAGAAGAAGCACCGGCUAACUCCGUGCCAGCAGCCGCGGUAAUAC
rnacentral:rRNA from 1 species